rnacentral:rRNA from 1 species
AACGAACGCUGGCGGCAUGCCUAACACAUGCAAGUCGAACGCUCACCUUCGGGUGGGAGUGGCGCACGGGUGCGUAACGCGUGGGAAUCUGCCCUUGGGUUCGGGAUAACAGUUGGAAACGACUGCUAAUACCGGAUGAUGACUUCGGUCCAAAGAUUUAUCGCCCAGGGAUGAGCCCGCGUAGGAUUAGCUUGUUGGUGAGGUAAGAGCUCACCAAGGCGACGAUCCUUAGCUGGUCUGAGAGGAUGAUCAGCCACACUGGGACUGAGACACGGCCCAGACUACUACGGGAGGCAGCAGUGGGGAAUAUUGGACAAUGGGCGAAAGCCUGAUCCAGCAAUGCCGCGUGAGUGAUGAAGGCCUUAGGGUUGUAAAGCUCUUUUACCCGGGAUGAUAAUGACAGUACCGGGAGAAUAAGCCCCGGCUAACUCCGUGCCAGCAGCCGCCGCCGUAA